GUUUUCACAGAUGCUGAACUCAGGGGCUGCACUUCCGUUGGGUACAGACAACCUAUGCUGGCCUGCAGGAAAAUGUCUAAUUCAGAGAGAAAGACAAAGUACACCUUGUGCUUUAACAAACCUACAGUAUCAUGUGCUCAUAUACUCUUUACAAGGAUUCUAUGAUUCUGCACAAAGUCUAUAAAGUUUCCAGCUUUCCACCAUACCUGCAGACUUAAAGAAAACCUUGUGUCUCUGAGGUGGAGAACUGACUAAAGUGGGAGCAGAGGAAAUCCAGCAGCUCUUUGAACCGGUGACCUAUAAAAGCAAGUAUCAGGAUAUUACUUCAUAUGAGCAUUCUGUGGAGAUGUAAAGAAUGGCAUGUGAACUGAGAGCAUAUACACACAAAUAUAAAUACUGCUUUGCUCCUGCUUUGCUUUGCUCUCUUCAUGGGAGAGAAGAAAUAUACUUCCUGCAAAGACUUUUCAAGUGUACCCCAAUCUGAGGGCUCAUGGCAAGCUCUGUACUUUUUACACACCCUGAAAGGUUCAUCUUUGUUUUCACUCCUAUAGCAGGAGAAACGUGGUGAUGUAUUGAGAACGUAGUUUCAUUUUUACCCUCCUGACUAGGCAAAGGACGCUGUGGGUGCUCCAGGUCUGCAGAGAUCCUCAACUGUGGUCAUGUGCUGCAGCCCUUUGCACCAUCUUGCACUGCCUUAUCCACCUCCAAAUGUACUAGGGACUGAGGGCUUGGUAGGCAUUUAUUUUAUCUGAAUGACUGGAGAAGAAGGAAAAGAGCUAACAUUUGAUUUAAAGUAAAAAAAAGAAAGAAAAAAAGAAAAAAGAAAG
ensembl:lncRNA